rnacentral:tmRNA from 1 species
GGGGAUGACAGGUUUCGACAGAGUGUGUGUCGGGACUGGUUGCACUUCGAGUUUCCGCCCGGAUGGACUCGUUAAAGAAGUCUGGGUAAACAAUAGAUGCAAACGAUAACUCGUACGCAAUGGCCGCCUAACUUAGCACACCGCUAAUUUAGUGUCAUCACACGCAGGGCGAGCCGCCUACUGUAAGUCCUGCCUUGUGUCAUAACCGGCGCUUGAGCGCUUCGGCGUUCGCGCCAGUAGGAUUCACUUUGUUUGUGCUCAACGGAUGAAGUGAAUACGCAGUUGAGCUAAGGCUAGGAACCCCGCCGGACGGGUAACCGAGCACGAAAAUCAAGAACCGGAGAUAAGUGUGGUAGCCUUUCCUUCCAGCAUUUUGGACGCGGGUUCGAGUCCCGCCAUCUCCACCA